rnacentral:sRNA from 1 species
UCUUCAUCAUUGUUUUUUUGUCCGGCAG